rnacentral:rRNA from 1 species
AUACGGAGGGUGCAAGCGUUAAUCGGAAUUACUGGGCGUAAAGAGUACGUAGGUGGUUUAUUAAGUCAGAUGUGAAAGCCCCGGGCUUAACCUGGGAACUGCAUUUGAAACUAGUAAGCUAGAGUAUGGUAGAGGGGGGUAGAAUUUCUAGUGUAGCGGUGAAAUGCGUAGAUAUUAGAAGGAAUACCAGUGGCGAAGGCGGCCCCCUGGACCAAUACUGACACUGAGGUACGAAAGCGUGGGUAGCGAACAGGAUUAGAUACCCUAGUAGUCC